rnacentral:rRNA from 1 species
GAGGAAUAUUGCACAAUGGGCGCAAGCCUGAUGCAGCGACGCCGCGUGUGGGAUGAAGGGGCUACGCCUCGUAAACCACUGUAGCCCGGGACGAAAAACGCCUUAGAGGCGUUAGACGGUACCGGGAGAAGAAGCUGCGGCUAACUACGUGCCAGCAGCCGCGGUAAUACGUGGGCAGCAAGCGUUGUUCGGAGUUACUGGGCGUAAAGAGUGCGUAGGCGGUUUUCUAAGUUCGGUGUGAAAUCUCCCGGCUUAACUGGGAGGGUGCGCCGAAGACUGGGAAGCUGGAGUGUGGGAAAGGCAGGCGGAAUUCCUGGUGUAGCGGUGAAAUGCGUAGAUAUCAGGAGGAACACCGGCGGUGUAGACGGCUUGCUAGACCAUAACUGACGCUGAGGCACGAAAGCGUGGGUAGCAAACA